rfam:Schistosoma mattheei strain Denwood, Zambia genome assembly, scaffold: SMTD_scaffold0009104
AUUCAACUAACGAGUCUCAAAUAGAACGAAACGUGCGUCCUAGAU